GAUGAACGCUAGCGGCAGGCUUAAUACAUGCAAGUCGAGGGGCAGCGGGAGUAGCAAUACUUGCCGGCGACCGGCGCACGGGUGCGUAACACGUAUACAAUCUGCCUUUUUACAGGGGGAGUAGCCCGGAGAAAUACCGGAUUAAUACCCCACUAACAGUCGAGUAAGCAUUUACUUGAUUUGUAAAGCUCCGGCGGUAAGAGAUGAGUAUGCGGCUGAUUAGCUAGUUGGAGUGUAACGGACUACCAAGGCUACGAUCAGUAGGGGAGUCUGAGA
rnacentral:rRNA from 1 species